rnacentral:rRNA from 1 species
UACAGAGGGGGCUAGCGUUAUUCGGAAUUAUUGGGCGUAAAGGGCGCGUAGGCGGCCAUGCGUGUCUUCCGUGAAAUCCCUCGGCUUAACUGAGGACGUGCGGAAGAAACUGCAAGGCUCGAGUCCGGGAGAGGGGGGUGGAAUUCCCAGUGUAGCGGUGAAAUGCGUAGAUAUUGGGAGGAACACCGGUGGCGAAGGCGGCCCCCUGGACCGGUACUGACGCUGAGGCGCGAA